GGCCUGUUUUUGCCACCCUGGCGCCCCGAACUCUGUGCCGCCGCACCCUUCACCCAGUCUUGGGACGGCUGGCGCUAAGAAUUCAUGCUAUGACCUUCGAUUCAGCCGGGAGGUGACACCAAGCUCGAUCAGAAACUAUGCCACUGGUGAAGAGGUAUAUUGAGCCCUGCGUGGCCCAGUGAGGUUACUAGAGAAUUGGAAGAGUCUCAAAUCAGCAUCCUGCACAUGGUUAUCAAACCAUUGUGAAGUCUUAGUAAGUGGUCAGUGGCUCUGGUGGGCUUGCCCAGUUAGUGUCUUAACAGGCACUAGGCAGUUACUUGAUAUUUUCCCAUUAUGAUAUGAAAAAGUUUUUUGUUUUUUGUUUUUUUAGGGCUGUACCCGUGGCAUAUGGAGGUUCCCAGGCUAGGGUUCAAAUUGGAGCUGUAGCUAUAUGCAGGCCUACACCACCCACAGCUAUAGCAACUUGGGAUCCGAGCUGCGUCUGCAACCUACGCCACAGCUCACGAGAGUGCUGGAUCCUUAACCCACUGAGAGAGGCCAGGGAUUGAACCUGUGUCCUCAUGGAUACUAGUUGUGUUCUUAACCCACUGAGCCACAAUGGGAACUCCAAAAAACAGUCUUUAUUUCAGACUAGAGAGUGAAGAGCCUAAUCUCUCUCUUUCCCCGUCUCCCAUUUUUGCAAUGAUAUCUUGCCCACCAUAAUAGUUGGUGUAGAAAAUGGAUUUGAAUCCAAGCCCAAUAUUGUUUCUUCCACCUAGUGCUUCCUCUAGAUUCCACCUAAGUCCAAGGAGGCGAUGUGAGACAGAAACAUUUUUAUUCCACAUGGAAAGAUUAUAAUAGCCUCUGACAUUGUGCUCCUCUGAUGAAGGAAAUGUCCAUGGUAUAAAUUUUUAUUGUGCAUAAAAUCACCUGGGAAGCUUGUUAAAAAUGCAGAUUCCUAGGCAGCUAGAAGCCUUGUCAUUGGUCCAGAGCAACAUGAAGACCUACCUGUCACUUACACUGAGGCUUCCUGCCCAGUGGGUUCACCAGCAAGCCAGAAGGAAGCAUCACUGCCAUGGAUGUCCUUGUGAGGCAGUUGUGAAGCCUUGGAGAGCUUUAGAAACAACUUGUCAAGUUUUCACCACAAAUACCAUUGGAGUUACAAUUGGAGUCUCACUGAAUUAUACAGUAAUUUUUGGAGAGCUAUCAUCUUUAUAAUCUUCUCAUACAUGAAUGUGUCUUGGCUACUUGUAGAUGUUGCAUUGCUGCUGCCGCUGCUGCUGUUACUACAACUACAAUUGCUGCCAGUUGCUCCUUGCGUAGGACCAGAGUGAUCAUUCAUCAGAAACCUCAUCCUCACAGUCUGGGGUUUGUUCCUGUGGCUGGUAUUCACAGUUUUCCCCUUCCAACUUUACCUCAGCUAUCCCCUUACCUACAUUAACAGGAGUUGCUGGUAGAAGACUUCAUGAAGGAGAGAAGAAAAGGAAAAAAUCAGAGGAUGACUACAGCCUCCUUCAUCUCAGCUUUGCAAAGCAUUACUCAACAGAGGGAUCACUCUCUUGAAUACUCUCCAGACCACAGGCCAUCAGUCUAUUACAGGCUCUAACUGGGAGGAGCCUUAUUGUGAAUGAAGCUUCGGUGGGUGCUAGGAGUAACACCGUGUUUCUCUGGAUAUGAGAAGAAUGGAGGGCAGAGAGCAAGGGAAGGAAGCUAUGAAAUAUUGGAGUAACAAAUGCUUGACGUUUUAGUGGGUAUUGGACCUAGAAGCCUAUAUGAUUGAAGGAAGCAAACCUGAGAGGUCUGAUGUUUGUGAGUGAAGAUAGGCGUGAACUCCUUAUUGCAAUUAAAAAUGGAGUGAGGGGGAGGAGAAAAAUGACAGAAAUCAUAAGAUCCAUUACUUCAGUGAAGGAAGCACUGAGACUUGCUUCAUAAACCUGUAAUUUUUAAAGGUAGAUUGAAGAUAAGUUGUUGUGCUGCACUAUUUCUAUUCCUACCCGUGAGAGUUACUGCCAGCCACUCUUCUCAGGUAGAUCUGCCUUUAUGGAAAUUUCUGUUGACCCACGUAAAGAAACAACCCAGAAAAACAUUUGCAACAUUGAAGAACUCUGGUUCAGUGACAGGGUGUUAAAGGAGUUGAGGAUAGAGGAAAUAGCUCAAGUAGUACCAAAUAGCUCAGGUUGGCUUUUUUUUUUCUUUUUAAUAGGAUGAUUGGGCCAGAGACAGUGGGCAGAAUGACUUCAGGCAACCCCAAACGCCAGAUAUGGCAUAAGGAAACAGUUUAAGGAAAAGGUCAAUCCUUGGACCUAGUAUUUGUGAUGCAAUAUCUUAAAUUAAAAGGAAGAGCUGCUUUGGAGAAGGGUUUUAAAAGAUUGUAUUUCAUAGAAAGAAGAAAGAUUUAGAGGAGAAACUUCCAAUUAUAUAAGAUGGGCAUUAUAACUUUUAAAGACAUCUGUUGCCUGCAUGGGUCAUAGAGAUUGAUACCAGUAUCAGCCUGUGGCUGACUAGGCCAGUUUAAGUGGUUUCCUGUUUGAAGAGAGAUGCUGCCAUUCUCUCACUUUGGCAGGUAUUCACCUGCAAUGAGUCCAGUACCUGGAGGAGCAAGAAAAAAACAAGCAUCCAGGGGGACAAUAGUAUAGCCUUCUGAGUUAAGAUAGCAACUGAAAAGAUCAUGGGAUUGGCUGCACUGGGCUGGGCUUGUUUGUUUUUUCAAAAUAAAAAAGUUUUCUUUUUGAUGACAAAAGUAAGAGAUGAUCAUUGUUUAAAAAUAAAGUGAAAAGUAUAAAAGUAAAGAGUAAUGUGCUUCCUUUUACUCUAAAAAAAGUGUAUAUAACACAGUUUAAAAAUAAAAUUGACAUUGUAUUUUCUGACUUUUCUCAUUUAAAAAUAAGCAUUCUUCCAUGUCAUUAACAUUAUUUAAAAAUACAAUAUUGUGUCAUAUUUCAUAUGGAUCUAACAAAAUUUAUUUAGAUCAUCUCAUGAUGCAGAUAUUUUGGAUG
rnacentral:lncRNA from 1 species